rnacentral:rRNA from 1 species
CAUGUCCUUUUGAAUAUAAUUUAAGGUCUAAUCUGCCCACUGAAAUUUUUAAAUGGCCGCAGUAUUUUGACUGUGCUAAGGUAGCAUAAUAAUUAGUUUUUUAAUUGAAAGCUGGAAUGAAUGAUUGAAUGAGAUAAUAACUGUCUCAAUUUUAACUUAUUAGAAUUUUAUUUUUAAGUUAAAAAGCUUAAAUAUUUUUAAAAGACAAGAAGACCCUAUAGAGUUUAAUAUUUAAUUAUUUUUUUAUUAUUUUUUAAUUAAUAUAAAUAAAUAUAUAAAUAUUUUAUUGGGGUGAUAAAAAAAUUUAAAUAACUUUUUUUUUAAUUUUACAUUAAUUAAUGAAUUAUUGAUCCAUAAAUUAUGAUUAUAAGAUUAAAUUACCUUAGGGAUAACAGCGUAAUUUUUUUUGAGAGUUCAUAUCGAAAAAAAAGAUUGCGACCUCGAUGUUGGAUUAAAGUUAAUUUUUGGUGUAGAAGCUAAAAGUUUAAGUCUGUUCGACUUUUAAAACUUUACAUGAUCUGAGU